rfam:TPA: Bos taurus chromosome 27, whole genome shotgun sequence.
UCCAUAGUGGCUCAGAAGGUAAAGAAUCUGUCUGUAAUUCAGAAGACCCAGGUUUGAUCCCUGGGUAAGGAA